rnacentral:sRNA from 1 species
GGUGCAGAGGAUUUGAACAGAAUCAGAGUCCUCCUCUGUGCAGGGAGAAAGGCUUCAGUGGGUCUCCCCUCCCUGCUAGGGAUCCUCCUUGCCAGCCCUGGGCUGGGCGCUGGCAGGCCCAUUCCCAGGUCUCCCGCCGAGGGCAGGAGAGGAGCCAGGCCUCAGGAGAGAAGUGCUUACUGAGUAAUUUACCAAGAGCGAUAGGCUUCCCACUGAGCCAGACGGGAUCCCCAGGAGGGGAGUCAGAGGCGGGCCUGGCAUGCAUGCACAGAGAGAGUGUGCCCACUUGGGGAGUGUGAAGGGCCUUGCUGUGGGACCCGAGAGGAUGAGCAGAGUCAAGUGGCAGGUGGGACACACAGUCUGCAGUCACUUCUUAAAAGGCCCUGGGUGGUGUGUCCUUCAGUGAUGACCAUUGUCCACGAUAGUGAGUUCCAGAGGGUCGAUUGGGACAGUUGGAUAGCCAAGGACCAGAGUCAGGAGGCAAGGCUGAUGAGCAAGAGGCUGUUGCCAUUGGCCAGGCGAGGCGUGAGGGAGGCUGAUGGAGCGCAGCAGCAGAGGGAUGGACAGGCAGGAAUGGCAUCUCCUCACAGGCCAGGCUCCUCUGCCGGGUUGGGUAGGGACGGGAAGAUGAUGGCCCCCAACCCUGGGCCAAGGAACAAUAGCACCCAUCCGGGGGCGGGGGACCUGCUGGAGUACUUCUCCUGGACCACUGCCCAGUGGGCAAUAGAGGGAACAAUGGUGUUUCUGACCAGGACGGGGGAAGGCAGGGGAAUGGAGGAAGAUACUGACAGGGUACAGAGGAGGUAGAAUGGAGCGAGGGCCAUCUCCACCGGGCUAGGAAAUGGGGCUUUGGUGGGCCACACUCCAUUGUGCUGGAGCGCUCUGGCAUCUCCAUUGGCAGUGGGGAGGGGCUUGUGACCUAUCAGCAUCUUCACCCUUUCUGAGUUUCCGCCGGGCUGGGCUCUCCAGCCAGGAGUCACAGGUACCGGGUGGUUGUUCAUGCUGAGGCCUUUUGCUUGGCAAAAAGUUAAUCCAUUUGUGUUCAUUUUUAACCUAAGCAAGGGUUGGAGCUUGUUGGAUUCAGCAUCUGUGGAACACAGUCUGUAGCCCAUGGGAAGACGUGGACAUUCUUUCCCAAGUUCUUGAAGGACGGAAAGGACCAUGAACUUGUGAGGUGACCGGAGGAUUGGUUUUGGGUGUCAGUUUUGUGUCUGUCCCAGUGCUGCCACUUUUGCUUUGAAAUGGAUGGGGAGAGCUGAAGGCCAGCAUGGGUUUCUGCACCUGUUUCCUACAGCUCUGCUGGGGACUGUGGCUCAGGUGGCAGCUGUGGACACGGAUCCUGUCAGCCUUUGGGUGGCCAGAGCUCCAAGGCCAGGUGUCUCUUAGCUGCAAGCAGCCUUCACUGUUAAUCAACAGGCUACACAAAUCUCACCUCUAAAGAGGUGAAAUGUGAAAAUAUAUGGGAAGCACUGCCUUAGCCCUGUGUCCACAAAUCCUUUCUGUAAAGGGCCAGAUAGCAUUUCAGGCUUUAUGGACCAUGUGGUCUCUGCCACAACUGCUCAGCUCUGCCACUGUAGCACAAAAGCAGCCAGAGACAGUGCGUAAAUAGAUAGCAUGGCUGUGUUCUGAUGAAGCUUCACUUAAAAAUACACAGGGCUGUAGUUUGCCAACCCCUGCAAAGUAGGGAGUAUUUUGCCAAAGUUGGCUGUAUUUCACCAACCCCUUAGACUAUAGAGAUGACUUACCCUUUGGCUUAAUCAUGACUGGAAACUUCCUUCCCAUCCACUGCCUGGAACCAUCCACCUCCCCACAAAGGCUUCCUGAGCAUCUCCUCCGUGUGAGCACUGGCUCAAUGCACAGGACGAUGUAGUUCCUGCCCAUAUGGAACUUAGGUUUUGAGUGACACGUGGGACAUUGAAAGAGGAGAGCAGGUGGCUAAAGAGCAUCAUACAGAACAGGGCUCAGGGAAGUCCCAGGUGGUAGAAUCUCAAAGAGAAGGGCUGAGGGUGAAUCAGGAAAGCCCUGAAGGCAGGCAGCUCUGGAGUCGGGUUUAGACGAGGAGGCUGCAGUUCUCCAGGAAGGGAAACAGGACCAGAUAACGGAUGAGAUUGUGUCAAACAAUGAGGAGGCCUGCAUAGUCACACAGGCGCAUGGGGUCUGCUCGUAAAGGACCAGGAGGGCCAGGCUCAGGAGUGUGGACUGGAUUCUCUGGGCAGUAGGGAGCCAUUGGACAGCUGUGCUCAGGAGGGUCAUGUGAUCACAAAUGCUUAUUAGAAAUGUCACUGGCUAUGGAGGACCAUGUCUGUGGUUAUAAGUUACGCCUUUCCGUUUAGUCUGGACUUCUUGGUCAAGGUACUUUUGGUAUUAGAGUGGGGAAGAGAGGCCCAGAGAGUUGGACAGGUUUUCUGACCAUUGGCUUAUAGUCAGUGAGCACCCCACCUUUAUUUUGACAUGACAGAGCUUUACAGAAUCUUCCUUCUUCAGGCGUUUUCUUUCCUGCUAUCCUAAAGAUUCACGUACAAGGGCAGGAUAAAUGAAACAUUCUGUCUCCAAUCUAAGUUCGGCUUGGGGCCUCAGAAUAUGAAGGUAAAGGGGCGGGGACGGACUGACUGCCCCUUGCUUCAGAAUCAAGUCACAUGGCGGGAACGCUCUAUGGAGCAGAUUGCUUCCUUUGUACAUGCCCUAGGCCCGUGUUCAGCAGGCCUCAGAGAAGCAGAGGUGCUGGCCUCUCGUCUCCAGAGGCUGCCAGCUACUAAGGGAGGUGGAAGCAACUACCCCUGGGGGUGGACUGCUCUGGGCCGGGCCCGACGUCAGGCGUAGGGGACUGAGGUGAAUCAGACAUGGUGGCUGCAUUGAGGAAUGCUCAGUGUAGUUGGGGUGAUGAAAAAACCCACGGCUGUUUGUAGCGCUUUCUGCUGAGCAUGGUCUUUCCUCUCAGAGGGGUUUCUAGGCACGUUGAAGGGAGCUGCCAUUCAGAGCAUCGGAGAGGUGCCAGGGACGUGAGCUGCUGCCAGUUUGACAUGAACAGAAGGUGGGAGUAGCUAGUGUUGCUGUGCGUUGAUAGGAGCACAGUGUCCGCUGUGAAGGGGCGGGUAGGGCUGGAGAAAGAUGGCCUAAUACAAGCGCCUCCACAGGUGCUGAUUCAGUGAAGCCCCAACAGCCCCGCGGGGUAGGUGAGGAUCACAUGCAGCUCGGAGAAGAGAAGGCACUUGCCCCUCUGCCUGAGCUGGGAGGUGGUGGCCAGCUGCACACAGGGCUGUCCCAGGAUGCUGACGAGGCGGGACCAGCCACAGGCCGGCAGCGCUGCACUGUGACCCUUUCACAGGGCCCAGCCUUGUUUCUGGCCUUCCGGGACUGAGUCAGGAGGUGAGGGCUAUGUUGCUGCCCCAGCACAGUCGGGCCAGGUGUGGGGAAAGGCAGGAGGGAGGUGUGCUGUGCUCUGAGCAGCCUGGCAGGCCCUGGAGAGGCAGGAAGCCACUGCAAACUUCAGAAACUGGGUGCUGCUUCCUCUCAGUGAAGUUGUGUUUUGCUACUCUCUGAUAAUCAGGUCAGGGAUACAGAAGGAAGAGUUGCCCCUGGGUGGCUGCUGUCUUUAGACUUGUCGGGCUCCCUCUGGUACAGACGUGCCUCUCGGAUUUUGCUGCCUGGUCUUCUCUCUUAUGGACAUGGAGUGGCUCUCAGGCUCUUAUGGUACAGCUCUAAGAAGGAACACUUCUUGCAUUGUCUAGUGAAGUUUCUGGGUUUAUGGAAGGGAAACUGACAAACUGGAGCCGGCACAGAUGGACACUGGGUAAAGAGAAUGCAGCCUGUCCCUGGCUGCAGUGCCAGGUGUGGCCUUUCCUGUGACAGCAAGUCACGUGCUGUGGCUCCAGCUUCAUAGGAAGGCUCUUGUCUGUCAGGCAGUGGAGUUACUUACAGACAAGAGCCUUGCUCAGGCCAGCCCUGCCCCUGCCUACAGGCACAGGUGCUUUGCCAUCUGUCCCGUUUUCCUGCUUAGGGAACCAAGAUGGUCAGAAAGUUUCUUGACUCUAACCUAAAUAUUUCUGCCGCUUUUGCGAGUCAGACUCUUUUUCUUUUCAUUGUUCAUGGAAAUGGAUCAAGGAGUAGGAGUUUUAGAUAGCUAGGGAGGUGGUGAGAAGUUCCGUCUCCACCUGUAAUUUACAAGUCGAGUCUUAGGUUUCCAGCCUCUUUCCUCUGUUCUGGGUAUCUCGUGCUCUCCACCCUUUAGGGAUUUUGGUGUGGUGGGUCAGUGGCAAGACACUCGAUCCAGACACACGCAUUUCCGAGGCACUUCCAUGUCACUUACCAAGCCUCCUUGUGUGCGGAUAUCACUUCACUGGCUCCCUCAGGCUGCAGCCCUGACCCCCAAGGUAGUGAUGGCAACUGGUGCAUGAGGUUUGAUUUGGAAGUAGCCAGGCAAGCCCUGGUUGCAAAAAAUACCUCUUCUAUUCCGACAGCAGGCCAGAGGCCGCUGCCAUUAGACGCAUCCCUCUACUUACCCCCGAUCACUUUUCAUGGUCAGGCCGGCCUUGCACAAGCAGGUUCUGUUCACUCCGCACCCCCAUUUCUUAGAUGGGGUACUGAGCACUGCUUUUCCCUGAGCUCACUUCAUGUGGCAGCUUCUCAGGGAUGGGACCUACCAUGGCUGCGGGAGAUGCUUUGCUACUACUUACUACCUUUCCGAGGGAGGAGGGCUCAUUUUUAGAAAUGUUACUGGGGAGCCAAAUUGUAGGCAUCCGACCAGAGGGCCUCGCUCUCUCCAUCUCCCAGGAACCAAGGGUAGCUCUGGCUCUCUGAGGAGCUGUCUCCAGCCUCCAGGUGGGCGUCCUUUCCAGCAUACCAGGGCUUAUGGAGGCAAAAUGAAAGCUGGUCCACGUGGGAACUCCCUACUGUUGUCCUUUCCUUGGGCAGACACCAUAUACUUUUUAGCUCCUAGCAGUGUUUAUCCCGUUUUCCCCAAAGCAUCCUUGGACUCAGGCCUUUCAUCCUGGACCCAUCUGUCUGGCCUGUUGUGCUGAGCCUUUGGUCUAAGUGGUUGGUUGGUCCCAGCCACUUCUUCAAAAGAAGGUUUCCUGAGGUAACCAUCAAUUAGGGCAAUCGUACUUCCAGGAACAGUGAGGCUGAUGGGCCUGUUCCCAAGGGUACUUUGGCAGGGGGUGCUGGGGAAGGGGCUGGCCUAGGGCCAGGUUCAUCAUACCAUUAGCCCUACAGCCCCAUGCCUUUGUGUCCUGGUUUAGCCGCCGUGUAGUGGUCCUGCAGGAGUGGAGCCUGUAGGACUUGCUUCUCAGCGGCUCCAAGCAGAACUCUGUCUGGGAAGGUGGGAGGUGCAGCCAGUCUAGACCUGAAGCCCUCACACUAAGGACUAAGGUAGGCCUGCUCAGCCUUAGCCCUUCGUCAGCCCCAAGGGUUGGGGAGGCAGGAGGAGGCUGAGCGUAGUCGUGGAUAGAAACCUUUCCCUACCGCACGGUUACACACAUGGCAUGGGACUCCUGGCUGUGGCUCACUCGGGUCUACUGAAGACCAAGUUAGUUUUUAGAAAUCUAUUUAAAAUAUCUAUCAUGUAUCUAUUUACUGUGUUUUUCUGAAUAUGCAAGUGUAAAUAGUAUAAUUUGCAGUGCAAAAUCCUUGGCAAUAACUUUGUGUAUUAUGUUUAAAAACACUGGAAACCGCGACCACCAUGGACUGCCCUUCCCCUCUGAGGCAAUUAUUACAUGUAGGACUCUGAACUUUAAACCUUCAGCGUGACUGAAGCAGCAGCCUGCACAUGUGGAUGGUCAUCAGUGCCUCGCCCAGAGAUGCCUGGCCUUCAUCCAAAGGGACCCUGCUGCCACAAGUCCUCCAGGCAGCACCCGCGCACUGUGGCUCCUUCGCACUGAGUAUGUUGGACUCUGCCAUAGACUGACCCUCUUGUCUGGCUGCUGCAGUUUGUCUGUAAUGCCCUGACAUGUUGCAUUCUCCCCAUUUGGAUAAAUAAAAACAAAUGCUUCUGUC